AUCUACCUAGUAGAAGGGGAUAGCCCGAGGAAACUCGGAUUAAUACCGUAUACGUCCUUAGGGAGAAAGAGGGCUUAGCUUUGAUGCUCUCGCUAUUAGAUGAGCCUGCGUAAGAUUAGCUUGUUGGUGAGGUAAAGGCUCACCAAGGCGACGAUCUUUAGCUGGUCUGAGAGGACGAUCAGCCACAUUGGGACUGAGACACGGCCCAGACUCCUACGGGAGGCAGCAGCGGGGAAUAUUGGACAAUGGGCGCAAGCCUGAUCCAGCCAUACCGCGUGUGUGAAGAAGGCCUUCGGGUUGUAAAGCACUUUAAGUAAGGAAGAAAAGAGUAUUGUUAAUACCAAUACUCCGUGACAUUACUUACAGAAUAAGGACCGGCUAAUUCCGUGCCAGCAGCCGCGGUAAUACGGAAGGUCCAAGCGUUAAUCGGAAUUACUGGGCGUAUAGCGCGCGUAGGUGGUUUGUUAAGUUGGGUGUGAAAGCCCCGGGCU
rnacentral:rRNA from 1 species